ACUAAAAGGAAAAAGUCUCCGUAUCCCCACAGAUCUCUCCCAGCCGCCUCUCUCCCUUCCUGCCACCAUCGUCAGCGGUCGCCGGGCCCUCCAGCCGCCGCCGCUACCACCACCUUCUCCUCCUACUCGUCCCCCACUUCUAAUCUUCCGUCUCCCUCCGACCUCGAGUACAGCAGCGGAUUUCGGCUUAGCUGGAUGUGACGCCGGCGAGGUCACAGUUCCUGUCGGCAUCCUCUGCGGCCGGUCCUGUGGGGUGGGCCACGCGCUGCUCAUAUCGGUGUCAGCGGCCACGGCCAUCCCCUGCCAUGGUGUCGCCCUUCCCUUGCCUGCCGCGUCAGCUUGCUGGUCGGAUCGCGAUGUUGACGGAGCCGGUACAACGCAAAUCCAGUUGCUCCCAAUGAAAGCCAAAUUUCAAGUGAUAAGUGCAUACCGACACAAAAGGCACGAGGUGCUGAUGAUCGCAGUGACUCAGAGUAUGAACCAGAUGCUGAAGAGGAGGCCCUUGCAAAGGAAGAGGAUUUGAGAGAUGAAGAGGAGGUCGCUCUUGCUAAGUCCAAAGCAAUGGCACCUGAAGGUUCCAUACCAAAAAUGAAAAAGCGUGUCUGAUCCAAAAAUAGUGCAACUGCUACCUCAAGAAUAAAAAGAUCUAGAGCUAACACAACAACUUUCAUUCACGUGUUCACAUGUUGGAUAGUCAAUUUAAUGAUAUAUCCUGUAUAUGAUUGGUAUUUCAGAGUAACUUUGAGAUGGAAAAGAAUGACAAGGUUGGGAAUGAUGUAUGCACAAAAGUAAUGCAGAAGGGUGUUCGACAACAACGCUACAAUCUAAAGAAGAAAUACUUCAAUGGUUAUACUGAGUGAGUUUUUCAAACAAACCCGUACAAACAGCAAUACUGGUAGCAUGAGCGAGCCGACACUUCUAGCUCCUAAUGCGAUGGAAAAGAAAAAGGAAACACAAUCAGAAGGUGAGAAGCCAUUAUCGGACACAGCUACUGUGGCUGAAGUUCUAAAGGAAGAAAGCGCCCAUAGCACCUUCCUUUCCAGCAUGGGGUACGCAUAAGACCCGGGAGGUCUGGGAGCUCUACUUCAUCAGCCCAGAUCCAAGUUCUAGAAGAAAGAAUUUGAACAAAAGAAUAGAGAGGCAAGAGAUGCAAAUGACAGGCAUCUGGAGGAGUUAGCCGCAAGACUUGAAGCACAAGAGAGAGCAUUUGAAGAGAUACAAAAGAAGCAGCAAGAAGAAUUGGAAGCUCUUAAGAAGAUCCCACAAGAGAAGAAUAAAGCCUGUGCAAAGAAGCAAAAGGAGACGGAUAAUCUGCUUGAUUUUCUCUUGACGGCUCAAGCAACUCAACAAGCAACUCUGCACUUGAUGGUUCAUGAAUGACAUCCCUACAUUGCAAUCAUUAGGAAAACAUGUGUGGUCUUUAAUUACUAUUAGUUUUCAUCUUGUCUAUUGUCUGUAUCAAACUUGAGUCAGUUUUUCACCAUCAUUUUUGUUUACAGAAUGAUUUGGCUUAGACGAUUUCAUAUAUAAUAUGAUUUGUCUUUUAUAUCAA